ACAAAGCAUGAUAAUUAUGUCAUGAGAUGCAGGUGUUAGCUAACGCUGUGGUGGUAAUCGUUUUGCAAUAUAGCAGUGUAUCAAAUCAACACGUUGUACAACUUAAAUGUAUACAGCGUUAUGUGUCCAUUACAUCUCCAUAAAGCUGGGAGGAAA